rnacentral:misc_RNA from 1 species
GUGAAUCAUCAAAUUUUUGAACGCAAAUUGCACUCUCCUCGGAGAGUAUGCCUGUCUGAGGGUCAGCCUAUAAAAAAUCGACAUCGUUGCUGUUUCGCGGUGGCGCUCGUCGGAAAUUGGGUCAUCUUAAAUCUUUUGGUUUUAAGCGACUUAAAAUUUUCUUUUUGGUUCCAUGAACGUUUCUAAGAUUUAUUUCUUUACACGUUUAAGGCAUCGAUUUUUAUUAGACGUGACCAUCAUAUCGUAUGCCGUCCUUAACUUGAAAUAAAAUGACCUCAGACAGGU